GGGAAGGUGGCUCAGUGGUAGAGCACUUGCCUUGCAUGCAUGAGGCCCUGGCUUUGAUUCCUUUGCA
rnacentral:tRNA from 1 species